rnacentral:rRNA from 1 species
UACGUAGGGGGCAAGCGUUGUCCGGAUUUAUUGGGCGUAAAGAGCGUGUAGGCGGCCAGGUAGGUCUGCUGUGAAAACUCGAGGCUCAACCUCGAGAUGUCGGCGGAAACCGUCUGGCUAGAGUCCGGAAGAGGAGAGUGGAAUUCCUGGUGUAGCGGUGAAAUGCGCAGAUAUCAGGAAGAACACCUAUGGCGAAGGCAGCUCUCUGGGACGGUACUGACGCUGAGACGCGAAAGCGUGGGGAGCGAACAGG